rnacentral:tRNA from 1 species
GGAACUGUGCCCGAACGCCCAGGGACCACUUUGAUAGAGUGACCUAUGAGGGUUAAAAUCCCCCCAGUUCCU